rnacentral:rRNA from 1 species
UACGGAGGGGGCUAGCGUUGUUCGGAGUUACUGGGCGUAAAGCGUGCGCAGGCGGUUAUGUAAGACAGGUGUGAAAUCCCCGGGCUUAACCUGGGAACUGCAUUUGUGACUGCAUAGCUAGAGUGUGGCAGAGGGGGGUGGAAUUCCACGUGUAGCAGUGAAAUGCGUAGAGAUGUGGAGGAACACCGAUGGCGAAGGCAGCCCCCUGGGUUAACACUGACGCUCAGGCACGAAAGCGUGGGGAGCAAACAGG